UACAGAGGGUGCAAGCGUUGUUCGGAAUUAUUGGGCGUAAAGCGCGUGUAGGCGGCCUUGCAAGUCGGGUGUGAAAGCCCUCAGCUCAACUGAGGAAGCGCGCCCGAAACUGCAGAGCUUGAGUACCGGAGAGGAUGGCGGAAUUCCCCAAGUAGAGGUGAAAUUCGUAGAUGUGGGGAGGAACACCGGUGGCGAAGGCGGCCAUCUGGACGGAUACUGACGCUGAGACGCGAAAGCGUGGGGAGCAAACAGG
rnacentral:rRNA from 1 species